rnacentral:tRNA from 1 species
GUUGUAGCUCAGUGGUAGAGCGCAUGCCUAGCAUUUGUGAGGCACUGGGUUCAAUUCUCAGCACCACA